GACGAACGCUGGCGGCGUGCUUAACACAUGCAAGUCGAACGGAAAGGCCCUGCUUUUGUGGGGUGCUCGAGUGGCGAACGGGUGAGUAACACGUGAGUAACCUGCCCUUGACUUUGGGAUAACUUCAGGAAACUGGGGCUAAUACCGGAUAGGAGCUCCUGCUGCAUGGUGGGGGUUGGAAAGUUUCGGCGGUUGGGGCUGGACUCGCGGCUUAUCAGCUUGUUGGUGGGGUAGUGGCUUACCAAGGCUUUGACGGGUAGCCGGCCUGAGAGGGUGACCGGCCACAUUGGGACUGCGAUACGGCCCAGACUCCUACGGGAGGCAGCAGUCGGGAAUAUUGCACAAUGGGCGGAAGCCUGAUGCAGCAACGCCGCGUGCGGGAUGACGGCCUUCGGGUUGUAAACCGCUUUCGCCUGUGACGAAGCGUGAGUGACGGUAAUGGGUAAAGAAGCACCGGCUAACUACGUG
rnacentral:rRNA from 1 species